ACUUUGCCUCUCAUCUCACUCGCAUCUCUCCGCUCAUCAUCUCUCACGUUCUUCAGAUCUCAAACUCUGGCUCUCAUCUCCGAUUCAACUCCGUCCACCAUUAAAGUAAACGACGACCACGUCGUCUCGUCGCUAUGUGAUCAGGAUUCGUUCGAUGCGUCUUCAAUUUGAGGAAGAUGAUGAAGGAUAUCUGGAAGAACGCUCAGAGACACGGUUACGUUGUGAUGCAGAAGCGAGGAAGGUGGAUUGAAAUUUGGAUGAUGUAAGUUCUCGCAGGCUGAGUUUGCAGAUGAAGAUGCGAUGUUGUUGAAGAUUGAUUGAAUCAAUGUUUCUGUUGAAGCUUUUUUCUGAGUUUUUCGGUGAUUUGGCGUAUGAAGAAAAUUGAAGCUGUGAAGGAUGAAGAAGAGAGAAAGAUGUGUAUCGAUGAUUGCGAUGAAGCCAUGGAGGUGAAGAUUGAAGGUUAUGGUGAUGGAUCUUCCGAGUUUUCUGGUGAGGAUUCCAUGAAGAAGAUAAUGAAGAUAAAGAGAGAGCGAUCAAGGUUUGCAGCGAUGUGAGAUUUCUGGUUCGGUUCUUUGUGUGAUGAAGAUGAAUGAAAAUGCCGAUUAUCUGGUGAAUCGAGAAUGAUUGAAGAGAGUUUUCUUAUGAUAUGUGAAUUGUGGAAGAUUGGAAAAGAUGAAGAUGAGGAUGGUUUCAAGAUCGUGAAUGGAGAGAGUUUGUUACCAUUUUCAAUUCUGUUAUACUGAGUUCUCCCCCUGAUUUCUGUUAUGUGAAAGUUUUAUUCCCCUCUGCUGAGCUGUUCUUUUCUGUUCGUAUUUUUGCUGCAGGGUCGGUUCAUUGAUUAUACAGGAUUGAGAUUCGGUUUUCCUUGGAGCUGCUGGUUUAUUUGUGUAAAGGGCUGAACCAGUUUUAUGCGUAAUUUCGUGAAGAAUUUUGUAAUACCUUCCAUGGUUAAUGAAAUUUGCAAUGAGCUUUGAGGCGGACUUGAAUCGGUUUGGCGGUGCACAUGGGGAUGGCUUAGGAAAUCAGGAUCAAUUUGUCUUUGUUUAGGAAGAGUUUGUAAUGUUCAAUGGGUUUUUUUGUAAUAGGUUUUAUUGUAAAGGAUUUUGAAACGAUAUUUGAAGGAUGUAAUCAAGAAAUUAGAUUCUGAACAUGAUUUUUUUGUAUAAUUUUUGUAAUGAAAUGUGCUUGGACUUUUAUGAAUGUAUGGACUUUUGUAUAUUUGAAUUUGGAUUUUGAAUGAUGAUUAACACAAAGAUGAGUAGAACUUGAACAAAUGAAUGAUUGAGUGAACUUGAAUAAAAUUCAUCAAUACUUAAUGAGUCCUUUUUUAUGAGUGAAUUCCAAUCCACUUGCAACUUCAAUGGACCCCCAACUCUAUUUAAUAGCAUCAAUCUAACUCAAACUUGCACGGGGAGCCACCAAUAAAUCGCAAGUAUAAUGUCGCCACGGACACAAUGCUCUCUUUUAAGCUCAUACCCUUUUAU